UAUAUAUAUAUAUAUAUAUAUGAAUUUCUCUUAAACAUGUAGACAUGUUUUGAAGUCGUGAGCUCCCAUUGGACCUAGAGUGAUAUCCGACUGGGCAUUAAUAGAUGAACCAUUCAACACAAACAGGACAAGGGUUUCACAAUCAGUAACCAAUCUAGAAUGAAAGAAUAGCUCACCAUUACAAAGAAUGUCUAUAAUGUUUUCCGAUACAACAUACGUUUACAAACCAGAACACUAUUACUUCCGAAGGGAAGAUAGAGAUCCACACAGCACCCAGUGGCAUCUCUGGCCAUCCUCAUGAAAUGCCACUGGAAUGCCCACUUCCCCCUUAAGACAAUUUGAGACCGAAAAUUACAUAUAUCACAAAAGUACUCUUUAUCAUCAAAAUCACACAUAUAGCACAAAUGGCAACAAUAAUUUAAGGCCUUAUUACCUAAUGCAAUACCUGAGAAUCACCGGUCCAUGAAAGCGCAUGAAAUGCAUCCAUUGAUUAGGUGGAAGCUGGCUUUGGCUCCAGAUUUUGGAUUAUUCUCUGUGUAGGAUGUAAGUUUCUCACCAACCAGAAUUGAAAGGGCGCAUUUGAUUAACAGGGAGUGUUGAGGCUCUUCCUAUCAGAUAGAAGAGGUUUCUUGAACACUUAUGUAACUGGAUGAGGGUACUUACAGGUAGUUCCAUUCCUUUCUCUGAGUGAACUUGUUCCAUACUCAUUCCAUUGUUGNNNNN
rnacentral:lncRNA from 1 species